GCCGUCUUAGCUCAGCGGUAGAGCGCGUGGCUUUUAACCACGUGGCCGUGGGUUCGAUCCCCACAGACGGCG
rnacentral:tRNA from 2 species